rnacentral:tRNA from 1 species
CGAAGUGUAGGCCAGUGGAAGAGCAUUCGACUGCAGAUCGAGAGGUCCGUGGUUCAACUCCGCGCGCCCCCA